rnacentral:rRNA from 1 species
UUUGGGUUGAUCCUGCCGGAGGCCACUGCUAUCGGGGUUCGAUUAAGCCAUGCGAGUCGAGAGGGUUUAAACCCUCGGCGGACUGCUCAGUAACACGUGGAUAACCUGCCCUAGGGAAGGGGAUAAUCCCGGGAAACUGGGGAUAAUACCCUAUAGGUUACAGAUGCUGGAAUGCUCUGUAAUCAAAAGUUCCGGCGCCCUAGGAUGGAUCUGCGGCCGAUUAGGUUGUUGUUGGGGUAAUGGCCCAACAAGCCAGUAAUCGGUACGGGUUGUGGGAGCAAGAGCCCGGAGUUGGAUUCUGAGACACGAAUCCAGGCCCUACGGGGCGCAGCAGGCGCGAAAACUUUACAAUGCGGGCAACCGUGAUAAGGGAACCUCGAGUGCCUGUAAAUGCAGGCUGUUCAGAUGCCUAAAACACAUCUGGAGAAAGGGCCGGGCAAGACCGGUGCCAGCCGCCGCGGUAAUACCGGCGGCUCGAGUGGUGGCCACUUUUAUUGGGCUUAAAGCGUUCGUAGCUGGGUUGAUAAGUCUCUUGGGAAAUCUGGCGGCUUAACCGUCAGGCGUCUAAGGGAUACUGGCAAUCUUGGAACCGGGAGAGGUGAGAGGUACUUCGGGGGUAGGAGUGAAAUCCUGUAAUCCUCGAGGGACCACCUGUGGCGAAGGCGCCUCACCAGAACGGCUUCGACAGUGAGGGACGAAAGCUGGGGGAGCAAACCGG